GCAAACUUGGUCAUUUAGAGGAAGUAAAAGUCGUAACAAGGUUUCCGUAGGUGAGUAGCAUCGUCUGCCCCCUCCACCGCCCUCGACCAGCGCUAACUUUGACCCCUAGGUGAACCUGCGGAAGGAUCAUUACCGAGUAUCGGGUGCUCUCGCGCCCUACUCCCACCCCAUGUUGACUUGCAACCGUUGCUUUGGCGGGCCGGUGGGUCACCCACCGCCGGGCGGCGCCUGGAGAGCGCCCGCCAGAGGACCAAACAAAACUCUUAUCAACCUGUCGCAUCUGAGCGAGCGAGAAUUGACCAAAACUUUCAACAACGGAUCUCUUGGUUCUGGCAUCGAUGAAGAACGCAGC
rnacentral:misc_RNA from 1 species